GUAGCGGCGAGUGAGCGGCAAUAGCUCAAAUUUGAAAUCUGGCGUCUUCGGCGUCCGAGUUGUAAUUUGAAGAAGGUAUCUUUGAGGCUGGCUCUUGUCUAUGUUCCUUGGAACAGGACGUCACAGAGGGUGAGAAUCCCGUGCGAUGAGAUGCCCAGUUUCGUGUAAAGUUCCUUCGACGAGUCGAGUUGUUUGGGAAUGCAGCUCUAAGUGGGUGGUAAAUUCCAUCUAAAGCUAAAUAUUGGCGAGAGACCGAUAGCGAACAAGUACUGUGAAGGAAAGAUGAAAAGAACUUUGAAAAGAGAGUGAAAAAGUACGUGAAAUUGUUGAAAGGGAAGGGCUUGAGGUCAGACUUGGUUUACCAGGCCAGCAUCAGUUUGGGUGGCAGGAUAAUAGCUAAGGAAAGUGGCACGAUUUCGGUUGUGUGUUAUAGCCUUGGUUGAUACUGCCUGCCUAGACUGAGGACUGCGUCUUUGACUAGGAUGCUGGCAUAAUGACCUUAAGCCGC
rnacentral:rRNA from 1 species